rnacentral:RNase_P_RNA from 1 species
CAAGCAGGCCACCUUAUCGCUGCAAUUUUGGCGACAAGAUUGAAGAGGAAAGUCCGGACACCGUAGUGCGGCAUAGCGGGUAACGCCCGUCCGCCGAAAGGCGAGGACCAGUGCAACAGAAAGCAAGUACAGUUCGGCUGUAGUGAAAUCAGGUAAACUCUAUGCGGUGAAACGCCAUGUAAACCAGUGUUUGAGGGUUGCACGCCCGAGCUGGAGGGUAGGCGGUUAGAGCCUUUGGGCAACCACUGGCCUAGAUAAAUGGUAAGGGUAUACAGAAUCCGGCUUACGGCCUGCUUUUUUA